rnacentral:rRNA from 1 species
UGUAUAAGAGACAGAUCUGUGUGACUGCGUACCUUUUGUAUAAUGGGUCAGCGACUUAUAUUCUGUAGCAAGGUUAACCGAAUAGGGGAGCCGAAGGGAAACCGAGUCUUAACUGGGCGUUAAGUUGCAGGGUAUAGACCCGAAACCCGGUGAUCUAGCCAUGGGCAGGUUGAAGGUUGGGUAACACUAACUGGAGGACCGAACCGACUAAUGUUGAAAAAUUAGCGGAUGACUUGUGGCUGGGGGUGAAAGGCCAAUCAAACCGGGAGAUAGCUGGUUCUCCCCGAAAGCUAUUUAGGUAGCGCCUCGUGAAUUCAUCUCCGGGGGUAGAGCACUGUUUCGGCAAGGGGGUCAUCCCGACUUACCAACCCGAUGCAAACUGCGAAUACCGGAGAAUGUUAUCACGGGAGACACACGGCGGGUGCUAACGUCCGUCGUGAAGAGGGAAACAACCCAGACCGCCAGCUAAGGUCCCAAAGUCAUGGUUAAGUGGGAAACGAUGUGGGAAGGCCCAGACAGCCAGGAUGUUGGCUUAGAAGCAGCCAUCAUUUAAAGAAAGCGUAAUAGCUCACUGGUCGAGUCGGCCUGCGCGGAAGAUGUAACGGGGCUAAACCAUGCACCGAAGCUGCGGCAGCGACGCUUAUGCGUUGUUGGGUAGGGGAGCGUUCUGUAAGCCUGUGAAGGUGUGCUGUGAGGCAUGCUGGAGGUAUCAGAAGUGCGAAUGCUGACAUAAGUAACGAUAAAGCGGGUGAAAAGCCCGCUCGCCGGAAGACCAAGGGUUCCUGUCCAACGUUAAUCGGGGCAGGGUGAGUCGACCCCUAAGGCGAGGCCGAAAGGCGUAGUCGAUGGGAAACAGGUUAAUAUUCCUGUACUUGGUGUUACUGCGAAGGGGGGACGGAGAAGGCUAUGUUGGCCGGGCGACGGUUGUCCCGGUUUAAGCGUGUAGGCUGGUUUUCCAGGCAAAUCCGGAAAAUCAAGGCUGAGGCGUGAUGACGAGGCACUACGGUGCUGAAGCAACAAAUGCCCUGCUUCCAGGAAAAGCCUCUAAGCAUCAGGUAACAUCAAAUCGUACCCCAAACCGACACAGGUGGUCAGGUAGAGAAUACCAAGGCGCUUGAGAGAACUCGGGUGAAGGAACUAGGCAAAAUGGUGCCGUAACUUCGGGAGAAGGCACGCUGAUAUGUAGGUGAAGUCCCUCGCGGAUGGAGCUGAAAUCAGUCGAAGAUACCAGCUGGCUGCAACUGUUUAUUAAAAACACAGCACUGUGCAAACACGAAAGUGGACGUAUACGGUGUGACGCCUGCCCGGUGCCGGAAGGUUAAUUGAUGGGGUUAGCGCAAGCGAAGCUCUUGAUCGAAGCCCCGGUAAACGGCGGCCGUAACUAUAACGGUCCUAAGGUAGCGAAAUUCCUUGUCGGGUAAGUUCCGACCUGCACGAAUGGCGUAAUGAUGGCCAGGCUGUCUCCACCCGAGACUCAGUGAAAUUGAACUCGCUGUGAAGAUGCAGUGUACCCGCGGCAAGACGGAAAGACCCCGUGAACCUUUACUAUAGCUUGACACUGAACAUUGAGCCUUGAUGUGUAGGAUAGGUGGGAGGCUUUGAAGUGUGGACGCCAGUCUGCAUGGAGCCGACCUUGAAAUACCACCCUUUAAUGUUUGAUGUUCUAACGUUGACCCGUAAUCCGGGUUGCGGACAGUGUCUGGUGGGUAGUUUGACUGGGGCGGUCUCCUCCUAAAGAGUAACGGAGGAGCACGAAGGUUGGCUAAUCCUGGUCGGACAUCAGGAGGUUAGUGCAAUGGCAUAAGCCAGCUUGACUGCGAGCGUGACGGCGCGAGCAGGUGCGAAAGCAGGUCAUAGUGAUCCGGUGGUUCUGAAUGGAAGGGCCAUCGCUCAACGGAUAAAAGGUACUCCGGGGAUAACAGGCUGAUACCGCCCAAGAGUUCAUAUCGACGGCGGUGUUUGGCACCUCGAUGUCGGCUCAUCACAUCCUGGGGCUGAAGUAGGUCCCAAGGGUAUGGCUGUUCGCCAUUUAAAGUGGUACGCGAGCUGGGUUUAGAACGUCGUGAGACAGUUCGGUCCCUAUCUGCCGUGGGCGCUGGAGAACUGAGGGGGGCUGCUCCUAGUACGAGAGGACCGGAGUGGACGCAUCACUGGUGUUCGGGUUGUCAUGCCAAUGGCACUGCCCGGUAGCUAAAUGCGGAAGAGAUAAGUGCUGAAAGCAUCUAAGCACGAAACUUGCCCCGAGAUGAGUUCUCCCUGACUCCUUGA